AUUGAACGCUGGCGGCAGGCCUAACACAUGCAAGUCGAACGAGUGGCGGACGGGUGCGUAAUGUCUGGGAAACUGCCUGAUGGAGGGGGAUAACUCCUGGAAACGGUAGCUAAUACCGCAUACCAUCAGAUGUUCCCAGAGGGGAUUAGCUAGUUGGUGGGGUAACGGAUCACCAAGGCGACGAUACCUAGCUGGUCUGAGAGGAUGACCAGCCACACUGGAACGUAGACACGGUCCAGACUCCGACGGGAGGCAGCAGUGGGGAAUAUUGAACAAUGGGCGCAAGCAUGAUGCAGCCAUGCCGCGUGUAUGAAGAAGGCCUUCGGGUUGUAAAGGACUUUCAGCGGGGAGGCGUUACCCGCAGAAGAAGCACCGGCUAACUCCGUGCCAGCAGCCGCGGUAAUAC
rnacentral:rRNA from 1 species